rnacentral:lncRNA from 1 species
CAUUGAGAGAGUCUGCUGUAAACUUACUGAAUUAUCACAUAAUGUAACAAAUGCCAUAGACAGGCUGGUUUAAACAACAGAAACUUAUUUUUGCACAAUUCCAGCAUCUGGAAGUUCAAGACCAACGUGCUGGCAGGGUUGGUUUCUUCUGAAUGUAGAUGGCUGUUUUCUCUCUGUAUCUGCAUGUACUUUUUAUUACAGUUUCAUAAGUUCUGACAAAUGCACAGAUUCUCCUCUCCUUCCCUCAUGCAGCACCUUUACACAGUGGCUUGGAUGCCUGGUGCUAAGCAAGGGUGUAUGGAUGCAGAUGCCCAGACCUUGAUCUAAGCUAGGAUGCAAAAGCAAAGGAUGCAAAGGAGAUGGGGACCCACCAGGAUGGGGAAGGCACCACUCCCCAGGUUAUUAAGUACGAAGAACCAUUGUGGGGCAUGGCGAAUACAUAAUCCUUGUCCCACAGAAGCUUGCCUAGGAGACAAGAUUUGCUAAUAUCCAGAAUCUACAAAGAACUCAAACAAAUUUACAAGAAAAAACAACCCCAUCAAAAAGUGGGUGAAGGAUAUGAACAGACACUUCUCAAAAGAAGACAUUUACGUGGCCAAAAAACAUAUGAAAAAAAGCUCAUCAUCUCUGGU